ACGGUAACGGUAACGGUAACGGUAGUGGAACUGGAAGGACUCACGAGUGUUCGAUUUGCCACAAGUGUUUUCCGACUGGGCAAGCUUUGGGAGGACACAAACGGUGUCACUACGACGGUGGUAACAGUAACGGUAACGGAAAUGCUAACGCUAACAGUAGCAUUAGCGCUAGCGUCGGAGUUACGUCGUCGGAGGGCGUGGGUUCAACAAUCAGCCACCGUGAUUUUGACUUGAACAUUCCGGCGUUGCCGGAAUUCUGGCCUGGAUUUGGUUCCGGCGAAGAUGAGGUGGAGAGUCCACAUCCGGCGAAGAAAUCUCGGCUAUCUCUACCUCCAAAAUUUGAAUUAUUCCAACAUUAAUGUGACUUUAAUUGCUAGGAUUUACGAAAUUUGUAGACAAAUUAUAUGUAAUUUUUUCUUUUCAUUGUGGGUGGGAUCAAAAUUUUAAAUUAUAUAUGUAUAUAGGACCUAGCUAGCUAUAGUGAAAAUUCAAUUGAUUGAUUAAUUUUUCUUGGAAUUACUUUGUUCACUUGCACUUUGGUUUCUUUAAUAAAAACAUAUAAGUUUUAACUAAUCACACUUUAAUAA
rnacentral:misc_RNA from 1 species